CACACACAGAUAUUGAGGUAAUGAAGAUGGUUUAACUGUACAGCUAACUUAGAAUAGUCAGUGGAUUGUGUCUUAAUACUUCAUGUUGCAGUGUAAGCCUUUACAUAUUAAACGGGAUUUUAUUGUUAGUUUACAGGUCAAUAACCUGCAGCAGAUAUUCAUACUCUAUUAUAAUAAUGGCUUUUUGGGGUUAUACUUUGGGGAGGAAAAAUGUCUUUUGACAUGCCUUUAUAUUUGCCAUGUGUAUGACAGCUGAGCUGCGUGUAGAGUUAUGUACACAUCCAUGCCUGAAGUUGAUGCUCUUUUGUCAAGAUGAGGAAUAAGAGACUGCCUAGAGCUGCUGGAGGAAGCCACUCUUUCUAGAGAAAAGAUUACCCAGAGUGUCUUGCAUUCAGGAGCCUGGUUAAUAGAAGGGUUCUUGUUUUGUACAAAUUUAGUACAUUUACUCUGAAAUAUGCAGACACUGGUCUCUAAGUGCGCACUGCUCUGGCACUGUUCUAGGGGAUGCCCACUCUUGCACCUGAACUUUUCUAUGCUUCAGUAGGUGCUGAGUGGGACAGAGCUUCCUGUCCCUGAGGGCAGGAGCCCCUUUCCCUCACACUGAAUAUGAUGGCAGGCUGCUUUACUGUGUCCCCGAAAAAUUUUAGCCCUUGGCGCUGGUGGCUCCGGGAUUCCCUCUGAGGGGUUGGCGUGAGUCUAUUUGGAGAGGGGACUUAAGCUAAGUUUAUGCGGCACUUUAUGUAAGACUGAGACCAUGUCAGUUGUCCCUAACAAGGAAUAGGGUGGAGGGAGAGUACAUGGAGAUUGUGGGGUGAGGGGCAGUGCUGAAGCCAACACAGCAUCCCUGCUCUCAUGUGGUGGGAAGUGUACUGCCCCCUGCAGGCUGGACCCCAGCCAUGGAGAAGGUGAAAUGUCUGUUGAAUAUAGUAUGGCACUACUGAAUUAGUGAAAGUGGGUCUUAUUGUCAUAGGUGCAUUCUUACCUAGUCCCCACAGUGUCCCGAGGCACACACUUCUAACAUACUUUUUUUGGAUUUGAGGGGGAAAUCCUUGGACAUAAUUUCAUUUUCUUUGCACUAAGCUCUGUGACUCAUGCAGAGAUUGGUCCUGUGAUCAUAGCCUAGUAAGACCUCCAUAGUUCAGGUAGAAUCUUUUCUUCAUGGCAUGUUGCCUGACAGUUCUUUCUACCUGUAACUAAAAGUAACUUAUAUAUACAACUUUACAUUUUAAACAUCUCUAUGAUGUAAAGGCAGGUGACUGCUGCCAUUUUACAGAGACAAGAGCAAUUACAGUUUAGUGACUUGCUCAAAAACACAUAAUCAAGCCAGUAUUAAAAUCCCAGACUUUCAGACUUUCUCUGCCCUGGGUUUUAAUCUCUUGUUUGUUGUUGAUAGACCUGAGUAGCUCUGAGACCCAUGUGUUUGAAACAGUAUGUGAUGGGGUAGCCCACUUGGGCUCCCCUACCUGCUGUCCCCCUGUGGCAUGCAGUUCUUUUAUCCGUCAAUACAUUCUGUUUCCUCCACAGAGAGAGAGAGAGAGAGAGAGAGAGAGAGAGAGAGAGAGAGAGAGAGAGAGAGAGAAAAGAAACAGUAUGCCAUGAAUGUUUAUCAUCUUUCUUGGGCAUGCUUGUCUACAUAUUUCAAAUACCUUCAACAAGGAUCACCAAAAAUGUCAUAUCUACCUAUAAUAAUUGGGGAAGAAAAUUAAUUGCCCAAGAAAAUAGCAAUUAAACACAUUAGUACUUUACAACACAAGUUUUUAAAUUGUGUUCUUGUAAGCUGCUGCGUGAGCCUGCUUACAGAAUUAUUAAUAAUUCUGCUGGUUUUCUGUAUGAGUCAAUUCCAAAGGAAACUUAGAAUCGAGUGUAUUUUGAACCUUAAAUUUUAAAUCUUUUUUAUAUAGCAAACUAUAGAAUGUCAUAAAUUAAGAAAAGUCUGUUAUCUUUUAACAAAAGAUAUAAUUUCAAAAUCAGGUUUUGUAAUAUGUUAAAAAAUAAUUCCUUUGAGUUUAAUCCUUGAGCUUACAUGUAUUUUAUCUGCUCGAAAGUAAUAACAGGCUGAGUUCCAUGUUCUUACUUAUUUCAGGGUUCUGGAUUAUCCCAACUGGCUACACAUCUGCCUGUCUGAAUCCUAAUCCUGUGUAUUUUCCAAAUAGGCAAAAGUCAAGACAUCAUCUACUACUGUCAUUCAUAAAACUCCUGAAAAAUCACCUGGAAAUAUUGAGAAAGGAUAAUGUGGAGAAAAAUGCCAUCAAGGCCAAAUUUAGAUGGAUGGAAACAAUGUUUUAAAAUAUAAGUGGAUUAAAAUAUAACCAUGAA